GGGAUGCUCCUAACGUUUGGCUAAGGUGUCCAAUAGCAGCUUAUCAGAUACCAUAAAAGGUGUUGAUUCAUUGAAACAGCAGGACGGUGGUCAUGGAAGUUGAAAUCCGCUAAGGAGUGUGUAACAACUCACCUGCCGAAUGAACCAGCCCUGAAAAUGGAUGACGCUCAAGCAGCUAACCGAUACCAAACCGUCUACGUAGAAUUGUGGACGUGUAGGAGGGCGUGAAGAUAACGCAGAAGGUUUGGAUGUGAAUCUGACUGGAGUUGUCUUUAGUGCAGAUCUUGGUGUUAGUAGCAACUAGUCGUAUGAGAAUUGCGACGACCGAAGUGGAUAAGGGUUCCGGGCGAACAGUGUUUGGACCCGGGUUAGUCGGUCCUAAGAGAAAACUUUAAAAGUUGAGACAGUUGUUUUACAACGAUUCUCGAAAGGGAAUAAGGCUUAAAUUCCUUAACUACAAAUUGCAUUGUGGUGACACAGUAUGAACCGUUUCGUCAUUGCUUGUGCCCGAGAGCGUUGCCAUCGCUCUGUAAAUUACUGAGUCUUUGGAAUCGGAUCAACCGGAGAAAAAGAUUACUGUGAUGAAUCGUAGUCACUAUAUAGAGGCUAUUGGGUAAAUAAGCACUGGCCUUUGAAACAGCGGUGGUUGAAAAUGCAUUUGUAUCCGUACCCUAAACCGCAUCAGGUCUCCUAGGUUUACAGCCUCUGGUUUAAUAGAAGCAGGUAGAUGAGGGAAGUCGGCAAAAUAGAUCCGUACCUUCGGAAUAAGGAUUGGCUCUG
rnacentral:ncRNA from 1 species